rnacentral:rRNA from 1 species
GACAGAGGUGGCCGAGCGUUAGGCGGAAUCGACUGGGCUUAAAGCGUGUGUAGGCGGGCGAUCAAGUACCUUAGUGAAAUCCCACCGGCUCAACCCGUGGAACCGCUGGGUAUACUGGUUGUCUUGAGCCGGGCUAGGGGCGAGCGGAACAGACGGUGGAGCGGUGAAAUGCGUAGAUAUCGUCUGGAACGCCGAAGGUGAAAACAGCUCGCUGGGGCCGCGCUGACGCUGAGACACGAAAGCCAGGGGAGGCGAACGGG